rnacentral:rRNA from 1 species
CCUACGGGAGGCAGCAGUGGGGAAUAUUGGGCAAUGGGCGCAAGCCUGACCCAGCAACGCCGCGUGAAGGAAGAAGGCUUUCGGGUUGUAAACUUCUUUUCUCAGGGACGAAGCAAGUGACGGUACCUGAGGAAUAAGCCACGGCUAACUACGUGCCAGCAGCCGCGGGAAUACGUAGGCGGCAAGCGUUAGCCGGAUUUACUGGGUGUAAAGGGCGUGUAGGCGGGGAUGCAAGUCAGAUGUGAAAACCACGGGCUCAACCUGUGGCCUGCAUUUGAAACUGUGUUUCUUGAGUGCUGGAGAGGCAGGCGGAAUUCCUGGUGUAGCGGUGAAAUGCGUAGAUAUUAGGAGGAACACCAGUGGCGAAGGCGGUCUGCUGGACCGCAACUGACGCUGAGGCGCGAAAGCGUGGGGAGCAAACAGGAUUAGAUACCCGUGUAGUC